rnacentral:lncRNA from 1 species
AGAGUCAGGGCUUUAGAGAACGCUCUGCAGAAUACCGUGUCUGGAAAGAGACAAGUUCAGAGAGAUUUCCAAGGGUAGCAGACCAGAGGCAGCUUUGCCCUUCAGAAGGUGAAGGCUACUUGGAGAGCUGGCAUCUGAAGGUGAAGAUAAAAGCAAGCACAUCACUUCCUCAUGUUGAGGCCAGAAAAUAAGAAUCAUAAUUAGAAGUGAUGUAAUCAUUUUGCUCGAAAAUCAUUUCUGUGUGUCUGA